rnacentral:rRNA from 1 species
CGGCAGCACGGGAGCAAUCCUGGUGGCGAGUGGCGAACGGGUGAGUAAUAUAUCGGAACGUGCCCAGUCGUGGGGGAUAACGCAGCGAAAGCUGUGCUAAUACCGCAUACGAUCUCUGGAUGAAAGCGGGGGACUCGCAAGGGCCUCGCGCGAUUGGAGCGGCCGAUAUCAGAUUAGCUAGUUGGUGGGGUAAAAGCCCACCAAGGCGACGAUCUGUAGCUGGUCUGAGAGGACGACCAGCCACACUGGAACUGAGACACGGUCCAGACUCCUACGGGAGGCAGCAGUGGGGAAUUUUGGACAAUGGGCGCAAGCCUGAUCCAGCAAUGCCGCGUGCAGGAUGAAGGCCUUCGGGUUGUAAACUGCUUUUGUACGGAACGAAACGGUCUACCCUAAUACGGUGGGCUAAUGACGGUACCGGAAGAAUAAGCACCGGCUAACUACGUGCCAGCAGCCGCGGUAAUACGUAGGGUGCGAGCGUUAAUCGGAAUUACUGGGCGUAAAGCGUGCGCAGGCGGUUAUAUAAGACAGAUGUGAAAUCCCCGGGCUCAACCUGGGACCUGCAUUUGUGACUGUAUAGCUAGAGUACGGUAGAGGGGGAUGGAAUUCCGCGUGUAGCAGUGAAAUGCGUAGAUAUGCGGAGGAGCACCGAUGGCGAAGGCAAUCCCCUGGACCUGUACUGACGCUCAUGCACGAAAGCGUGGGGAGCAAACAGGAUUAGAUACCCUGGUAGUCCACGCC